UCUAUGUUGACUGAAAAUACACGUUGUAUUGACUGACCUGUCUCAGACUGUUAUAUGAUAUCUCUUUCGGUUAGAAAAUCUUCAUCUUCAGAUCUAACAAGCAUAAGUAAACAGUAGCUACCAAUGGACAAGCUAAAAGCAAAGGAGGAACCAGCCUCAUUCGUAUUGAAAGUCCCUCUUCACUGUGAAGGAUGCGUCACAAAGAUAAAAAAAUUAGUUUAUAAAAAGAAAGGUGUGGAGAGAGUUGAAUAUGAUCUGUCCGGUAAUAGAUUGAAGGUUUUUGGAAAAGCUGACCCGGAGAAGGUGCGAGAUGAAUUACAGACUCAGCUUAAGAGGAAGUUGGGGCUUUCCCUGGAAAAUAGACUUUAUGAAGUGUUCUUAAGUUUUAGAGGAAAAGAUACUCGUGCAUCAUUCACUUCACAUCUCUAUGCUGCACUUCAAAACGCUGGACUUAACGUUUUUAGGGACGAUGAUUCUCUUGAAAGAGGAGAUCAAAUACCAACAUCAUUACUUCAUUCGAUUGAAGAAUCUCGAAUUUCUGUGAUUGUUUUUUCAAGAAAUUAUGCGGAUUCGCGAUGGUGUCUAAAUGAGUUAGUAAAGGUAAUGGAGUGUCAGCUAACCAUAGGGCAGAUAGUUUUGCCAGUGUUCUACGAUGUAGAUCCCUCUGAAGUACGUCACCAGAAAGGCAAGUUUGGUAAAGCAUUUCAAAAUCUCUUAAAUAGAAUUUCAAAGGAGGUAGACGAGUCCCUUUCACAGGAGGAGAAAGAUGAGUUGUUGCAUCGUAAGUUGAGCUGGAUAGAGGCGCUUCAAAGGGCGACUAACAUUGCCGGAUUUGUAGUCCUAGAUUCCAAGAAUCAAAAUAAGGUCAUCAAGGAUAUUGUUGAAAAAAUUACUCAUUUGCUUGAUAAGACAGAUUUGUUCAUUGCUGAUAAUCCUGUGGGAGUUGGUUCUCGAGUGCAAGAUGUUAUUGAACUGCUAGACAUCCAACACUCCAAUGAUGUACUGCUACUUGGGAUGUGGGGUAUGGGGGGGAUUGGCAAAACAACCAUUGCAAAAGCUAUCUAUAAUGAAAUUGGCCGUAAUUUUGAAGGUAGGAGCUUCCUUGCAAAUGUUAGGGAAGUUUGGGAUGAGAAUGCUGGAAAAGUGAAUUUACAGGAACAACUUCUCUUUGACAUCUACAAAGAUAUGACGAUCAAAAUACAAAGCAUUGAAAGUGGAAAAAUCAUAUUAAAGGAUAGACUCUGCCAUAAAAGAGUACUAAUUUUACUCGAUGACGUUAAUACAUUGGACCAACUAAAUGCUUUGUGCGGAAGUCAUAAAUGGUUUGGUUCUGGGAGUAGAAUAAUCAUUACCACAAGGGAUAGACAUAUACUUAGUGGGAAUAGGGUUAAUAAAGUAUUUGAAAUGAAACACAUGGAUGAAAGUGAAUCAAUUGAGCUAUUUAGUUGGCACGCAUUCAAGCAAGCGAGUCCUACAAACGAUUUUGUUGAAAUUUCUAGAAAUGUAGUUAAGUAUUCUGGGGGGUUGCCACUAGCAUUGGAAGUCCUAGGGUCACAUUUAUUCAAUAGGGAGGUAACAGAAUGGAAAAGUGCGUUGGACAAACUCAAAAGAAUUCCUAAUAAUCAAGUACAUAAGAAGUUACGAAUAAGCUACGAUGCUUUAAAUGAUGACUUUGAGAAAGAAAUAUUCCUUGAUGUAGCUUGUUUCUUUAUAGGGAUGGACCGAAAUGACGUUACACUUAUAUUAAAUGGAUGUGAACUUUUUGGUGAAAUUGGAAUAAGCAUCCUUGUUGAGCGUAGUCUUGUUACUGUUGAUGGUAAGAACAAACUUGGAAUGCAUGAUUUGUUGCGAGAUAUGGGAAGAGAAAUCAUUCGUGAGAAAUCACCAGAGGAGAUCGAGGAGCGUUGCAGGUUGUGGUUUCAUGACGAUGUGCUUCAUGUAUUAUCAGAACAAACUGGAACAAAAACUAUUAAGGGGCUGGCUUUGAAGUUGCAAAGAGCUAAUGAAAAAUGUUUCAGUACUAAAGCAUUCAAGAAGAUGAAGAGACUUAGAUUGCUUCAACUUGCUGGGGUCAAACUUGUUGGAGAUUUUAAAUAUAUUUCGAGAAGUCUGAGAUGGCUGUCUUGGAAUAGAUUUUCUUCAACACAUAUACCUACAAACUUUUAUAUAGAAAAUUUAGUUUCCAUCGAGUUAGAGAAUAGCAAUAUCAAACUUUUAUGGAAAGAAGCCCAGAUGAUGGAAAAGCUAAAAAUUCUAAAUCUUAGUCAUUCUCAUUGUCUGACGCACACCCCAGACUUUUCAUACAUGCCUAAUCUUGAGAAGCUGGUACUCAAAGAUUGUCCAAUGUUGUCUGAGGUUUCUCCUAGCAUUGGAAAUCUCAGUGAAAUUCUUCUAAUAGAUUUGGAAGAUUGUGUUAGCCUUCGAAGCCUUCCAAGAAGCAUCUAUAAGUUGAAAUCUCUGAAAAUUUUAAUUCUUUCAGGGUGUAUAAUGAUUGACAAGUUGGAAGAGGACAUAGAACAGAUGGAAUCUUUAACCACUCUGCUUGCACACGACACUGCAAUAAAAAGAGUACCCUUUUCAGUAGUAAGGUCAAAAAGCAUUGGAUACAUCUCUUUGGGCGGCUAUGAAGGAUUUUCUCGUGAUGUGUUUCCAUCUAUCAUUUGGUCUUGGAUGUCACCAACAAAUAAUCUCCCAUCUCCAUUUCAAACAUCUGCUGCCAUGUCAUCUCUUGUUCCUUUAGAUGUACCACAUAGUAAUUCCCAGGAACUAUCAUCGAUUUCCCAGUGUCUUCCAAGUCUUCGAAGUCUAUGGGUGGAGUGCAGCUCGGAACUUCAACUUUCUCAUGAUGCAGCAAUAAUUUUGGAUGCCCUGUAUGCCACAAAUUCUAAGAAUUUGGAACCAACUACAGCUACAUCACAAUUAUCAAAUGUGACUACUUCUACAUCCCAAGUAUCAAAACAUUCCUCGAAGUCUCUUUUAAUUCAAAUUGGAAUGAAUUGCCAAGCCACUAAUAUUCUGAAAGAUAUAAUUUUACAGAAUAUGGAUGGCAAUGGGAGUGGUGGUUGUUUCCUCCCCAGUGAUAGUUAUCCAAAUUGGUUAACCUAUAAUUCUGAAGGUUCUUCUGUGAAAUUUGAAGUUCCUCAAGUGGAAGGGCGUAACUUGAAGACAAUGAUGUGCAUUGUCUAUACUUCAACCCCAGAUAAUGUAACAUGUAGUGGCCUUAAAAACAUGUUAUUGAAAAAUUACACAAAGGCCACCAUUCAGCUUUAUAAGAGUGAGGCAUUGGCCUCCUUUGAAGAUGAAGAGGGGCAGAGGGUAGUAUCAAGUCUAGAACCUGGUAACAAAGUGGAGGUCCAUUUUGUUUUCGAGAUUAAUUUCAUUGUGAAGAAGACAACAGUUUAUCUUGUAUACGAUGAACCAGUUUCAAAUACAAUGGAGCUGUAUCAUGUACAAGAUUUGAAUGCAAUUUCUUGUAGUAAUGAUGAAAAUGAACUCUCUGUCAAGAGAUUAGCUUCUGAAGGGGAUCCCAUUGAUGACUGCAAUCAAAACAGAAAGAAGAAAGGCCAGGUGGAAUGAAUCAAUGACCAAGCAAAUCAAUUGUUCUCCAUUUUUGGCUGAAGUUUCUUGAUUAUCCAUGAGAAUUCUUCAACAGUUACGGUUACGCCUCAACUAACCGGUGAGAAUUAUCAUACCUAUACCUAUACCAGAAGAUGUCUUGAAGAUGCGAAGAGCUCUUGCUAUGAAGAACAAAUUCAAGUUUGUUGAUGGAUCCAUAACUAUACCAGAAGAAGAUGAUAUUCUCUAUGCAGCUUGAGAAAGGUGCAAUAAUCUUGUUCAUACCUGGAUAACCAAUUCUAUUUCACCUUCAAUUGCUCAAAGUGUAGUGUUUGUAGAAAAUGUUGUUGAUAUGUGGAAUGGCCUUAAAGAUAGAUUCAUGAAGGGGGAUAGAAUUAGAGUUGCUCAAUUGCAAGAAGAAAUUGCUAACCUAAAACAAGGAAGUAAGAAAGUUACUGAAUUCUUCACUGAUUUGAGAGGUUUGUGGGAUGAAUUGGAUCAAUACAGGCCUAAGCCUCAGUGUACCUGUCCAAUUCAAUGUACUUGUUUUGCUAUGAGAAAUAACAAAGCUCUUACAGCAGAAGAUAGAAUUAUCAAGUUUUUAAUGGGAUUGAAUGAUGAUUAUCAAGGGGUGACAUCAAAAGUGUUGUUGAUGUAUCCUUUACCUCAAAUAAACAUGGUUUUCUCUAUGGUAAUGCAGCAAGAAAGAAAGAUGCAGUAAAAUGUAGUAUCUUCACCUACUCCUAUAGAUGAUACAACUUGUGGUCUUGUUAAUGCCAUGGAUGGUCAGAGGCAAUUUGGAAGGGGUAGAGGAAAUUCAUUUCAAGGAAUAGGAAGAGCAAAUCUCAGGGUAUGUAGCUUCUGCAAUAGAACCAAUCACAUUUUGGAACCUGUUAUAAGAAACAUGGUUAUCCUCCUAAUUGGGGAAGAGGAGGAGGAAAUUCUUUUGCUAAUGCUAAUUUUGUGGAAUGUGAAGAUACUGAGCUCAAGGGAAGCACUUCCAUUGGGAAAAAUGAUGAAAAUGAAAUGAUGCUAACCAAAGACCAGUAUCAGAAUUUGAUUGCACUGUUGGAGAAAAGCAACAUUGAAGCUAAAGGCUCUGCAAAUGUGAUGAAGGCCAGCAGUUCAAUUGCUAAUAUUGGAGGUAAAUUCUUUACCAGUAAUGCUAGUUGCAAAUUUGAUGACACUAGCUGGAUAGUUGACACAGGUUCUACACAUCACACUUGUGAUGAUUUGAGCUGGUUCACUACUUAUAAUGAAAUUAAACCUAUUAGUGUUACUUUGCCUAAUAAGAAAUUGUGGAGGCUUGUUACAAAGGAAAUGUGAAGUUAUCUGAAUCUUUACACAUAGGGUUGGGAAUAGGCCAGGCCGGCCUACAGGGGCCUAUGGCCUGGCCUGUUUAUUAAAAAGGCUAGGCUUAGGCUUUUUAA